rnacentral:rRNA from 1 species
UACAGAGGCCCCAAGCGUUACUGAGAAUCACUGGGCUUAAAGGGCGCGUAGGUGGUCCGUUAAGUCUGUUGUGAAAGCCCUUGGCUCAACCAAGGAAUUGCUUCGGAUACUGGCGGACUUGAGGCUAGUAGAGGUCACUGGAACUGACGGUGGAGCGGUGAAAUGCGUAGAUAUCGUCAGGAACGCCGGUGGUGAAGACGGGUGACUGGGCUAGUUCUGACACUGAGGCACGAAAGCGUGGGGAGCGAACGGG